rnacentral:lncRNA from 1 species
CCCUGCCUUGGAUAGAUGCUGCUGAAUCUGUAAGAAAUGCCGGUGCCACUACCACCCCAACACUCCAAACGUGAGACUAGGAAAUCUCAGUCCAGCAUUGUGCCCAGUGAUCAUGAACCAUCUGAAAAGAAAGAUGAGAAGUACCAAGCAAAGAUAUCUCCAUCUUCACCUCAGGGACCACUCAAAAAGAGAUCAGCUUUUGAAGAUCUCACCAAUGCUCCUCAAAGUCAACAUGUCCAGCCCAAGAAGGAAGCCAAUAAUGAGUUUGUUAAAGAUACUUCCAAGAAGAGAAACAAGGAAAGGUUGCCUGAAAACAAUAAGAUGAAUAUAAAAAGAUGUAAGGUAGAACUCUCACCAAUAAUAGUCUCAACCACCAUGGUGCCAAACAUUAUAGAUAAUCUGCUCACUCUGGAUAUGUCUACCAGCUCCAAGACACCCAAUACUGAGGAAGCAUCUAUUUUCAAAGAGCCAUUCAUUUUAAAAGAGGAACCCACUUCUGAGGAUGCAGUCCUCACGAAGAGGUCAUUAUCUUCAAAUAAGUGCACAAAUCAGGAGGUAAUGUCCCUCUUGAAGAAGCCACUGUCCUUGCAGAGGAAGAGUGACAGUGAUGUACAGCCAAUGACUUUUGGGAAGAAGCGUAAAACCGGGGAGGCAGCCAUCACCAACAGGACAUUAUCCUUAAAGAAUAUGUGCCAAUAUCAGGGAAAACAGUCUUGCUUGGGGGAGGAGUUGGCCUUGCAGGAUGUCAGUGUUGAAGAGGAUUCUUCCUUUAUGGAGCUCCAGAAUGUUAGGAAGAAGGCUAAAACUGAGGAAGCAACUUUCACCAACCCAUUAUCAUCUUUAAAGAAAAAGUAUACCACUCAGAGGAAGAUGUCCUAUAGGAAAAAUCCUCUAGUACUGCAGAAGACCACCUCUGAAGAAAAGCCACUCACUGAGGAGUCUUUUAAGAGAAAGCCUACUGCUGAGGAGGAGUCCUUUUUCCAGGAGCCACCUGCACUGCAAGAGAAGCACACCUCUGAACAAGAAAUAUCCAUCUUGAAGAAAUCAUUGGCCUUUCAGGAGAAGAUCGACACUGAAGAGAAAUCACUUUUUAAGGAACCAUUGGCUUUUAAGAAGCAAUCUACCACUGAGGAGACAGCCUUCACCAUGAGGCCAUUAUCUUUAAAGAAAAAGUGCACUACUCAGAGGAAGAGGAAGAUGACCUACACGAAGAAGACCGCCUCUGAAGAGAAGGCACUCACUAGCCAGUUACUGUCCUUUAAAAAGAAGCCUACCCCUAAGGAGGAGUCCCUCUUCCAGGACCUCUCAGUGUUGCAAGAGAAGCAUACCGAUGAUGGAGCAGUGACACUUUUGAAGAAGCCAUGGGCAUUGCAGAAGAAAGAUGAUGAAGAUGAUUUUCUUAUGGAGCCACUUUCCUUUAGGAAGGCUCAUACUACUAAGGAGGCAACACUUCCCAAGAAGCCACUACCUUUAAAGGGGAAGUGUACUACUCAGGGGAAGAUGUACCACUUGAAGAAUCCACCAGUAUUGCAGAAUGUCGCAUCUGAAGAGAAGUCACUCGUUAAGGAGCCAUUACCCUUUAAGAAGCCGCCUACCACUAAGGAAUCCCUUUUCCAAGAGCCAUCAGCAUUACAGGAGAAGCACACCAUUCUAGAGGAGGCAUCCAUCUUGAAGAAGCCCUUGGUCUUGCAAAAGACUCCAGCUGAGGAGGAAUCACUUAAAAAGGAGACUUUGACUUUUAAGAAGUUUACCAUUGGGGAGGCAGCCUCCACCAAUAUGCUGUUAUCUUUAAAGGAGAAGUGUACUACUCAGGGUAAGUCCUGUUUGAUCAAGCCACUAGUAUUGCAGACCAUUUCUGAAGAGAAAUCACUCAUUAAGGAGCCUACCACUGAGGUGGAGUCCCUCUUGAAGGAACCAUCUGCACUGCAAGAGAAGCACACCACUCAGGGGGAUGUGGCCCCUUUGAAAAAGCCAUGGGCAUUACAGGAGAGAAUAGACAGUAAAGAUGAAUUUCUUAUGGAGCCACUGUCAUUUAGGAAGACACAGACCACAAAUGUGGCAGUCUCUACCGAGGAGUCAUUAUCUUUAAUGAAGCAAACGUGUGCCACUCAAACAAUAAUGUCUAUCUGGCAAGAACUGUUGGGGUUGCAGAAUAUGAUUGGUAAGAAUUCCGUUAUGAUGCCAGUAUCAUCUAGGAAGAAGUCUUCAACUGAUGAGGCAGUUCUUACCAAGACAACAUUAUCUCCAAAAAUGAGGCAAAUCACUCAGUGGAACACGGUCAUAGAGAAGACCACCUCUGAAAAAGAGUCACUCUUUAAGAAGUUGUUGCCCUUAAAAAAAAAGUAUACAACUGAAGAGGGGCUCCUCUUCCAGGAUCCAUCUGUAUUGAAAGAGAAACACACCUCUCUGCAACAGGCGUCCCUCUCAAAGAAGCCAUUAACCUUAGAGGAGAAGAUCGCCACUAAAGAAGAAUCCAAUGUCAAAGAACUGUUGACCAUGGAGAAGUCCUUGGUCUUGCAGAAGACUGAUACCAAAGUAGACUUCUUGAAGACGCUGUUGGCUUUGCAGAAGAAAAGCACCACUGAAGAGAAAUGCUUUUUCAAGAAACCAUUGGUUCUGAAGGAAAACUUCUCCCCCGAGGCAGCAGCCAGCAUAGAGGGACAAUCAUCUUUUAAGAAGCAGCCCACUGCUCAGGGGGAGGUGUUCCUCUUGAAAAAGCAGUCGACCUUGCAAGAGAACAUCACCGGUGAAGAGGAGUGCAUUAUUAAGCAGCCACAGGCCUUGCAGGAGAAGCCCAGCAUUGAAAAGGAGACCAUCCUGAGGGAGUCCUUGGCCUUGCAGGAUAAUUCCAUGAUUGAGAAGGAGGCUGUCUGGAAGGAGCCAUUGGCCUUGCAAAAGACUCUCACUCACAAAGAAGACCCCUUUCUCAAAGAUUGCACCUUCCAAAUUGAAACCAGCCCAGAUGUGUCUACCACCACCCCUGAAUCUGGAACAGGCUUGUCCAACACCGUCACCAUGUCUUGCAGUACCAUAAGCAAGUCCAGUACUUGUGAAUCCAGUUCCGAUAAACCUUUCUCAUCUUGUGACAAGAGAUCACAGCAGGAGAUGAUCCCACUGGGGAAUACUGAUAUAGACUGCAGCGACCCACUUUUCAGCUCAGUAUAUGCUAAGGAUAUCUUCAGUUACAUGAAGAAAAGAGAGGAAAAGUUUAUACUUAAAAAAUAUAUGACCAGGCAGACUGAUAUCGACAGUGACAUGAGGGCCAUUCUUGUGGACUGGUUGGUGGAGGUGCAGAUGACCUUUGAGAUGAGUCAUGAGACCCUGUACUUGGCAGUGAAGCUGGUAGAUCACUACCUUAUGAAGGUAAUAUGCAAGAAGGACAAGUUACAACUCCUUGGUUCCACUGCUUUUAUGAUUGCAGCAAAAUUUGAGGAGCGCUGCCCACCUAGUGUGAAUGACUUCCUGUACAUCUGCAACGAUAUUUAUAAGAGAGACGAGAUGCUCGCCAUGGAAGCCAGCAUCCUGAAAAUCCUCAAAUUUGAUAUCAACAUUCCCAUCGCCUAUCAUUUUCUGCGCAGAUAUGCUAGGUGUGUCUAUGCCAGCAUGAAGACACUGACCUUGUCCCGCUUCAUCUGUGAGUUGACCCUGCUGGAAUAUGACUAUGUCCAAGAGAGGGCUUCCAAGCUCGCUGCUGCCUCCUUCUUCCUGGCCCUCUGCAUGAACAAGCUCGGACACUGGGCUCCUAUCCUAGAGUAUUACAGUGGCUACAGGAUCUCUGAUCUUCACGCCUUGGUCAGGCAGCUGAACAUCCUACUGACUUUUCAUUCUUGCAAUAGGCUCAAGACUGUAUGUUCCAAGUAUUCACAUGAGAUAUUCUUUGAAGUCGCCAAAAUCCCACCCUUGGACAUGUUGGCACUGGAGAAAAUUUUGAGGUGUUGCUAAUUCUGAGGCCGAGGGUCUGGUACUCUGGCAGCAGCCACCAGGGCUGGGCAGGCGCAUAAAUAGGCUGUAUUUAUUCUGUCUUUGGAUUUGU